AUUCGAUAUUAGAAGGUCAUUUUAGCUAAUUCUGUUAUAACUAACUAUCAAAAAGUUAGUUACAAGAUUAGUUACAAAGUGUGUGAUUGUGAACUAUAAAUAGAUGAUCUCUACUGAUGUAUUACUUAGCCUUUGAUCUCAAAUCAAUGGAACUUCUUUUCUUUUCAAUUUCCUGCUAAAGCUUUACAGUUUAUUUUAUGGUACUAGAGCCAUACAAAGUGUUUAACUGUGACAAGCGAUUUGAUUUGAAGAAGCAGAGGAUUGUGUUUGUUGAUUUGCAGAAGCAGUAGCUGCAGAUCUAGAUACAAGUGAUUCACAAUUCCAUAGUUGAUUAGGUUGAGUUUUGUAAUUUUCCGCAACAAAGUGUUGUCGAAUUUUCAGUUAUAAUGCCAAGUGAUAGAUCAACUAAGGAUCAGUCUCAAGGUCGUAACAAUGGUGAAAAUAUAGGUGGAUCUAUGUCCGAGUUCAAGCAUCAGUCAAAGUAUUGAUUACAAUUGCCCUCUUUUUCUUAGCCCUACUAAUAUAAGUGGAGUUAGCUGAUUUCAUUUCAAUUACUGGGAGUGGAAAACUACACUUUAUGGAGUAGAUCUAUGACUCUUGCUAUAUUAGGAAGAAACAAAAUAGGGCUAAUUGAUGGAUCAUGUAGAAAAUAAUUGCAUACUGAAGGUUUGUGGGGGCAAUGGGAGAGGGUUAAUGCAAUUGUAUUAUCCUGGCUAAUGAAUUCAGUUUCUAAGAGUCUUCUCAGUGGUAUACAAUUAUGGAACGACUUAAAAGAAAGGUUUGACAUGGUAGAUGGGUCAAGGACCUAUAGUCUGCAUAAGAUAUGCAUCUCUGCAACAUGGCAAUCCUCAGUGUCUGUGCAUUAUACUAAUCUCAAAACCUUGUGGGAUGAGUUUGAAGCUUUAGAGCCUCCUCCCUGCUGUAAUUGUGAUAAGGCAAGGGGUUUUGUAGCUCACAUGAGCAGGCAGAAACUCUAUCAGUUUUUUAUGGGACUUAAUAAAUCCUAUCAUCAAGCUAGAAGCCAAAUUCUAAUGAUGGAUCCAUUGACUACCAUUAAUCGUGCAUAUGCCAUGAUAGUAGGGGAUGAAAGUCAAAAAUCAGUGGUGUCUCACACCAGCAGUAUGGGACUGAGUUCACUAAGUAUGGAAUCUAUGGCCAUGUACUCUAAAACUGUCUCUAUUCAAGUGUUAACCAGAUGUUCAAGAAGAAUUCAAUGAUGAUUUGUGACUUAUGUAAGUGUAAAGGUCACAAUAAAGAAUUUUUCUAUAGGGUAGUUGGCUAUCCACCUGAUUUCAAGUCUAAGAGAAAGAUACAAGGUGCUUCUUCUGAAAGUUCUAGUCAAGCUCACUUUUCUUAUGGAGGUAAUAAUAAUGUACCUGCACCAGGAUGGUAGAGAAACUUCAUAUAGCACAACUUCAUAUUUAACUUGGUGAAUGUUCAAGUCAUCAUAAACAACAAGCAAGACAAGCUGAGUUGGAGGUCAAGCCGUUGCUUAAAGGAUGUACAUUCACAAGGGACCAAAAUGAUCACAUUCUUAAAAGCUAUCAGCCCAAGAAAGAGCCUAACUACAAAACCACUCUUGCUGCUCAAACUGCAGGAGCUUUACGGUGGGAAAGUGCAGGAGGUUAGUGAAGAGGCAGAGUGCUUCUAUACAAACACACAUGCAGUUGGUCGAAAAGGUAGACCAUUAGCUGUAACUCAAGUUAUUCCUUAUAUAGAGCUAUGACAUCAAAUAUUAGGACAUGUGUCCUCUGUAGUAUAGCUAAGAUCUUUGAUAUGACUAAAUAAAGUCAGUGUCAAGUGUCUAAGUGUCUAGUCUACCCAUAUGAUAAACAGUCUAGACUUAGUUUUCCUUCAAGAAGUAUUAAAAGUAGUGCUUGUUUUGACUUGAUACAUGUUGAUCUGUGGGGUCCCUAUAACACAACUACAUUUGAUGGAAACAAAUAUUUUAUUACUAUUGUUGAUGAUUUUUCAAGAA